rnacentral:rRNA from 1 species
AUUGAACGCUGGCGGCAUGCCUAACACAUGCAAGUCGAACGGCAGCACAGUAAAGAUUUCGGUCUUUAUGGGUGGCGAGUGGCGGACGGGUGAGUAAUGCGUAGGAAUCUGUCCUGGAGAGUAGGAUAACCUGAGGAAACUCGGGCUAAUACUGCAUGAUAUCGAGAGAUCAAAGGCAGGGGACCCUUCGGGGCCUUGCGCUCUAGGAUGAACCUACGUCGGAUUAGCUAGUUGGUGGGGUAAAGGCCUACCAAGGCGACGAUCCGUAGCUGGUCUGAGAGGAUGACCAGCCACACUGGGGCUGAGACACGGCCCAGACUCCUACGGGAGGCAGCAGUGGGGAAUCUUGGACAAUGGGGGAAACCCUGAUCCAGCGAUGCCGCGUGUGUGAAGAAGGCCUUCGGGUUGUAAAGCACUUUAGUUGGGGAAGAAAAGUAAUGAGUGAAUAACUGAUUGCUCUGACGGUACCCAAAGAAUAAGCACCGGCUAACUCUGUGCCAGCCGCCGCAGUAA